GGAAUAUUGCACAAUGGGCGAAAGCCUGAUGCAGCCAUGCCGCGUGUAUGAAGAAGGCCUUCGGGUUGUAAAGUACUUUCAGUUGUGAGGAAGGGGGUAGUGUUAAUAGCGCUAUCUCUUGACGUUAGCAACAGAAGAAGCACCGGCUAACUCCGUGCCAGCAGCCGCGGUAAUACGGAGGGUGCGAGCGUUAAUCGGAAUUACUGGGCGU
rnacentral:rRNA from 2 species